AUGAACGCUGGCGGCGUGCCUCAUACCUGCAAGUCGCGCGAACAGACGAGGAGCUUGCUCCUCUGACGUUAGCGGCGGACGGGUGAGUAACACGUGGAUAACCUACCUAUAAGACUGGGAUAACUUCGGGAAACUGGAGCUAAUCCCGGAUAAUAUAUUGAACCGCAUGGUUCAAUAGUGAAAGACGGUUUUGCUGUCACUUAUAGAUGGAUCCGCGCCGCAUUAGCUAGUUGGUAAGGUAACGGCUUACCAAGGCAACGAUGCGUAGCCGACCUGAGAGGGUGAUCGGCCACACUGGAACUGAGACACGGUCCAGACUCCUACGGGAGGCAGCAGUAGGGAAUCUUCCGCAAUGGGCGAAAGCCUGACGGAGCAACGCCGCGUGAGUGAUGAAGGUCUUCGGAUCGUAAAACUCUGUUAUUAGGGAAGAACAAAUGUGUAAGUAACUAUGCACGUCUUGACGGUACCUAAUCAGAAAGCCACGGCUAACUACGUG
rnacentral:rRNA from 1 species